rnacentral:rRNA from 1 species
GAAGAAAGUGGGGGGCGUGCUUAACACAUGCAAGUCGAACGGAAAGGCCCUGCUUUUGUGGGGUGCUCGAGUGGCGAACGGGUGAGUAACACGUGAGUAACCUGCCCUUGACUUUGGGAUAACUUCAGGAAACUGGGGCUAAUACCGGAUAGGAGCUCCUGCUGCAUGGUGGGGGUUGGAAAGUUUCGGCGGUUGGGGAUGGACUCGCGGCUUAUCAGCUUGUUGGUGGGGUAGUGGCUUACCAAGGCUUUGACGGGUAGCCGGCCUGAGAGGGUGACCGGCCACAUUGGGACUGAGAUACGGCCCAGACUCCUACGGGAGGCAGCAGUGGGGAAUAUUGCACAAUGGGCGGAAGCCUGAUGCAGCAACGCCGCGUGCGGGAUGACGGCCUUCGGGUUGUAAACCGCUUUCGCCUGUGACGAAGCGUGAGUGACGGUAAUGGGUAAAGAAGCACCGGCUAACUACGUG